GAUGAACGCUGGCGGCGUGCUUAACACAUGCAAGUCGAACGGGAAACCUUUUAUUGAAGCUUCGGCAGAUUUAGCUGGUUUCUAGUGGCGGACGGGUGAGUAACGCGUGGGUAACCUGCCUUAUACAGGGGGAUAACAACCAGAAAUGGUUGCUAAUACCGCAUAAGCGCACAGGACCGCAUGGUCCGGUGUGAAAAACUCCGGUGGUAUAAGAUGGACCCGCGUUGGAUUAGCUAGUUGGCAGGGUAACGGCCUACCAAGGCGACGAUCCAUAGCCGGCCUGAGAGGGUGAACGGCCACAUUGGGACUGAGACACGGCCCAGACUCCUACGGGAGGCAGCAGUGGGGAAUAUUGCACAAUGGGGGAAACCCUGAUGCAGCGACGCCGCGUGAAGGAUGAAGUAUCUCGGUAUGUAAACUUCUAUCAGCAGGGAAGAUAGUGACGGUACCUGACUAAGAAGCCCCGGCUAACUACGUG
rnacentral:rRNA from 1 species